rnacentral:rRNA from 1 species
AGAGUACACGUGGGAACGUGCCCUUCAGUUCGGAACAACCCAGAGAAACUUGGGCUAAUACCGGAUACGUCCGAAAGGAGAAAGAUUUAUCGCUGAAGGAUCGGCCCGAGUCUGAUUAGCUAGUUGGUGGGGUAAUGGCCCACCAAGGCGACGAUCAGUAGCUGGUCUGAGAGGAUGAUCAGCCUCACUGGGACUGAGACACGGACCAGACUCCUACGGGAGGCAGCAGUGGGGAAUAUUGGACAAUGGGCGCAAGCCUGAUCCAGCCAUGCCGCGUGGGUGAUGAAGGCCUUAGGGUUGUAAAGCCCUUUCGGCGGGGAAGAUA